CUCAUUCCAAUAUCUCUCUCUACUCUCUCUCUCUCUUCGAUGAAGAAUACAAAGCCCUAAUUUCGAUGUACUCACGGAAGAUGAAUCCCCAAAUUGUUCUUCCUGGUCACUAAGAUAAAUCUGAGCAAUUGAACUCUCACCUCUCCCUUAAAUCUAGAGCUUCCUCGAAUCCCCUCUUCGCUGGUCACUAAAAUCCCCAAAUUGUUCUUCACCUGCACCAACCCGAAUCCUAGAUUCCGCAAAUCGUCAAUUGUGUUGAUCAUCUAUUCGAUGUGUUUCAUCAAUCUCGAAUCCUGACUCACAAACACACAAAACAGGAUGGACGAUACUUGUGUUGUGUGUGCUGAAACCCUAUAAUGGAUUGCUUACGGAAGAUGUGGACACAAGGAUGUUUGUUCCACAUGCGUUGCUCGUCUUCGAUUUAUUUAUAAUGAUCGUCGUUGCUUCAUCUGCAAAUUUGAGUCCUCGAUCAUCUUCGUUACCAAGAAAAUGAAGUACACAAGCUUUGUCAUAUAUGCAUCUGAUGUUGCUGUUAUUCUCUUCUCCUCCAAUGACAAGCUGUUUCAUUACUCCAGUUCAAGUUGCUUCUGCUGGUUUUGGCAAUUGAGUUUGUGUCGUUUUGGAGCUGGCUACCAAAUCGUUCAACCUAUGUGCAGUAUGAAAGCGAUAAUGAUAAUGAAGAUUCAGAACUGGACUACUAAUCAUCAUCGAUUCAUCACUUUCAGUAGCAGGUCAUGUCGAAUUCCGUUCGUCUUCUUUUUGUUAUUCUUAUUAUUAUGCUGAUUGGAUACAAUGACAUUGCAUACGGUGUUGUCGAUGAGUACAAACGAGAUCACCUGAUUUCGUUUUUGGCCAAAGAACUUCUACAUAUCAGGUGUUCGAUGUUAUGCUCUUCAUUUCAUUUCAAGUGUUUUUAGAGUGUCUAAAUUAAUUAAUUGGUUGAUUGAUGAGUAAAUCGCAUUAUGUUGAUGUUAUUUCAGAUUUUGUUGAUUGUUCUUACGGUUUGUUGUUGUUGAUUGAUUGUUUAUAUCAUUUGUUGUUAUUGAUUGAUUAUUAUUCAACUAUUACAGUAUAAUAGCUUUGUUAGGUGCAUUUGUUUACCGGUUGAUUAGUGAGUUAAUUGCAUGAAGUUGAUGUCAUAUCAGAAAAUGAAGUAUACAAGCUUUGUCAUAUAUGCAUCUGAUAUUGCUGUUAUUCUCUUCACCUCCAAUGACAAGUUGUUUCAUUACUCCAGUUCAAGGUAUGUUGUCAGUUGAAGUUUGGAUGCUUGAAUUGAUUCAGUUUAUUAUAUAUAUGAGAAUUCAGGUGUUGAUAGUUUGAAUGGAUUUAGUUGCUUCUGUUGGUUUUGGCAAUUGAGUUUGUGUUGUUUUGGAGCUGGCUACCAGAUCAUUCGACCUAUGUGCAGUAUGAAAGCGAUGAAAGUGAUCAUGAUAAUGAAGAUUCAGAACUGGACUACUAAUCGUCAUUGAUCUAUCACUUUCAGUAGCAGGUCGUGUCGAAUUCCAUUCGUCUUCUUUUUGUUAUUCUUAUUAUUAUGCUAAUUGGAUAUAAUGACAUUGCAUACGGUGUUGUCGAUGAGUACAAAUUAGAUGAUUUUCCACCUGAUUUCGUUUUUGGCCAAAGAACUGCAUAUCAGGUUGAAGGAGCGGUGUUGGAAGAUGGGCGUACUUACAUCAUCUGGGACAUUUUUGCACAUGCAUGUAUUAAUAUAAUGUAUUCUUUAUGUUGUUUGGACUUUCCGUGGACAAUUUUCUAAUGGUACAUAACGUGUUUUUCGAAUU